GACUAGGAGGCACUUUGACAUCUUUUUAGAC
rnacentral:piRNA from 1 species